UAGCUCAGUAAUUGUUAUGGGAUUAAAUGGAAUAAUAAAUGUAAAGCACUCAGCCCAUGCCUGGCACGUCCCUGCUGAAGGUUCCUGGCUAAUGGUAUUAUUCUUUUCCCUGCCUGUUGGCUACGCAGACAUUGUGUUAGAGCCUGGGCAAAGUUCCAUCACACACGUAUACACGUGUGGGUCCUUACAGACUCACACAGGGGAUCCUACUGCACACCCUACUUACAGUCUCAGUAAUUAUCCCACGCCCAGACCUACGUGAAUUUCAUACACCUUAGAGUUCAUGCCCAGACAGUACAGAAGCUGCUAUGGAAAGGCUGGAAGAAGGGGUCUUAGGCAGACAAAUGCUCUCUCCAGUCCAAAAGGAGACGCGCGCAAAAAUGAAAGUGUCUUUAUUACUGCAUAUGCUGGAGCACACAAGAAGCCAGCUCAGGUGACAAGGAGCUGGUCACAUGCAACCAAUCAUCCUGAUUGUCUCUACAGAGACGCCCAGGGUGGGAGGCACUGGCACCGAGAUCACGAGGGAAUAUGAGACCCAUCGAGCCAUCGUUAGAGCCACUGUGGGGAACAGCUUCCCUGGCUGGAACCGGCUGGCACAGCCACUGGAACCCUCUUAAUGCCCGGGUAAGAGCUGAAGUCUGGAGUAAAGCUGAGGGGUCCUGCUCCAGGGCUGGGGAUCUAGGGGCUCUGGCCUUGUCCACUCCUCACCCUGGGGAACAAAGACCAUAAUGACAACCUAACUUUACAGAACAAUAGAACUUUACAGAACUGAACAGUUGGACAGCACUUUACAGUUUAUAACCCUGUCUCUCAUUCAUUAUACCAUUUAAUUCUCAAGGAAUCCUGUGAGAUGCAGGUGACAUUGUCCCUCAUUAACCGAAAAAGAAACCGAAGUUCAAAUACUCUGAAAGAUGCAGCGCAGUAGAGAUGGCCCAUGGUGGGCCCCAAAUGCAGAGUGCUUCUGAGAGCCCAGUUCGACCUCAGCUUUGAUCCAGAGGCACAUCUAGUAUUUUCAUAUUACAAAUAGGUCAGGUUUUACCCACCAGAGUGUAUCCAUUAAUGAGCAAGUGCAUUGAGUUCCUAUGCCAGGUGGUGUGCAAAGAGCUGACAAAAGAAUGGUGAGUGAGCUGACUUAGUCCUCGAGUCAAUUAAAGAAAGCCUCAACUUCUUUGCAUGCCUGUCACUGAGAAGUGGGGUACAUUCGCCCUCCUCAGAAUCUGGGUUGGCCUGUGACUGCUUCGACCAGCAGAGGACAGAACAAGUGCCUCUUUGAGGGUUUCCGCCUUGGUCGUUUGGCUCCCUGGCCACUCUUGCAUGAGUCCAGCCACCCUGAAGAAAGGACAUGUGAAGAGGGAGAGGGGCCCAGCAGAGCUCAGGCUUCCAGCCUUCUUGUCAAGGUACCAGACAUGUGAGUUCAGCCUUCUUGGACCCUCUGGACCAGUCUGGCUUCUACUGAGUGCCACUGAGAGGUCAGGAUCACCUAAGGCUGAAUAAAAUCCUUCCUGAAGUCCUGAUGCA
rnacentral:lncRNA from 1 species